rnacentral:lncRNA from 1 species
UUUAUUUUAUCUUUUUUUUUUUCUGUUCAGUUAUGCAGGUAUGUGUCAAGCUCUUUCUUGGAUAAUUGACUAUUCUAUCGGGUUACGACUUUGCACAGACUGAGAAAACAAAGAAAUCAAGACUGUCAACUGUCAUGUCAAGAUCAGAGUUUCUUCUGCAGCAGCACGCAAGACAUUUGGGCGGCUCCCUGGACAGAUAGAGCAGCGGCUGAAUGCUGCUGCUGAUGUCCAUGAACCCGAAGGCGAUGUAGUGGAUGUAGCAUUUGAACACGUCGUGAGUGAAGAAAGCCUGGAACGGGAAAAGAGCUACAGGAGGGAGGUAGUUGAAGACGAUGAUGGCCAGAAUAAUGAGGACCAUCUUGAAAGCCCUUUUCUUGACAGGGUGCAUCUCAUCCCGGCCCGGUCCAGACUGCUGCAGGACCCAGAGGAUGGAGAUGUUGCAGAAGACCAUGAACGCAAAGGCUGCCAGGAUCAUGACCGUGAAGACCUUUUCAAAGCUGGGGAUGCUUCCUAUACACUUCAGAACAGCAUAGGCCAGAGUGAUGACCCACAUGACCCCGGCGCACACCGGCCGGUGCGGGCGGUCCUUCAGUUUUGUGAAGGUUAUUGGAUGCCGGACGGCCAUGUAGCGGUCCAGGCAGAUGCAGGACAGAAAGAGGGGUGAGGAGUCCUUCACACCGUAGAAGAAGCGCAGGACGUACCAUGUGCUGCUGGUGGUCAAGUACACCAGGUUGGCAAACUCCAAUGGUGGGAUGAGGCAGAAGAAGGUGUCCAGCACAGCCAGGUGGACAAUGAAGAUGUCUGAGGUGGACGAGUCUCCCUUGCUCCUGAAGAUGAGCCACAGUACCAUGAUGUUGGCCGGUAUGCCCAUGAACAUGUUGAUGAACUGCAUGCCCAGGUAGAAGAGGAUGACCUCGGGCAUGUGCUGGCAGGUUUGAUACACAGUCUUGUCCGCCACAGAGGCAUUGAGGGGGUGGUGACUGAGGAGCAGGGUGUUGUUGAUGUAGGUGGCUGUCUCCAUCCUGCUUCACCUGAUGGAGCAGAUUCUGCAUAGAUCAUAGAAAAAAACUUUAAAUAAUAUAUUUUGAAAAAUACAUUUAGGCAGGGUGUCUUAAAGUAAGGAAACAUACAAUAAAAAAAGUUUGUCAAAAAGUG